GACGAACGCUGGCGGCGUGCUUAACACAUGCAAGUCGAACGGAAAGGCCCUGCUUUUGUGGGGUGCUCGAGUGGCGAACGGGUGAGUAACACGUGAGUAACCUGCCCUUGACUUUGGGAUAACUUCAGGAAACUGGGGCUAAUACCGGAUAGGAGCUCCUGCUGCAUGGUGGGGGUUGGACAGUUUCGGCGGUUGGGGAUGGACUCGCGGCUUAUCAGCUUGUUGGUGGGGUAGUGGCUUACCAAGGCUUUGACGGGUAGCCGGCCUGAGAGGGUGACCGGCCACAUUGGGACUGAGAUACGGCCCAGACUCCUACGGGAGGCAGCAGUGGGGAAUAUUGCACAAUGGGCGGAAGCCUGAUGCAGCAACGCCGCGUGCGGGAUGACGGCCUUCGGGUUGUAAACCGCUUUCGCCUGUGACGAAGCGUGAGUGACGGUAAUGGGUAAAGGAGCACCGGCUAACUACGUG
rnacentral:rRNA from 1 species